rnacentral:rRNA from 1 species
GAUGAACGCUGGCGGCGUGCCUAAUACAUGCAAGUCGAGCGAACAGACGAGGAGCUUGCUCCUCUGACGUUAGCGGCGGACGGGUGAGUAACACGUGGAUAACCUACCUAUAAGACUGGGAUAACUUCGGGAAACCGGAGCUAAUACCGGAUAAUAUAUUGAACCGCAUGGUUCAAUAGUGAAAGACGGUUUUGCUGUCACUUAUAGAUGGAUCCGCGCCGCAUUAGCUAGUUGGUAAGGUAACGGCUUACCAAGGCAACGAUGCGUAGCCGACCUGAGAGGGUGAACGGACACACUGGAACUGAGACACGGUCCAGACUCCUACGGGAGGCCGCAGUAGGGAAUCUUACGCAAUGGGCGAAAGCCUGACGGAGCAACGCCGCGUGAGUGAUGAAGGUCUUCGGAUCGUAAAACUCUGUUAUUAGGGAAGAACAAAUGUGUAAGUAACUAUGCACGUCUUGACGGUACCUAAUCAGAAAGCCACGGCUAACUACGUG